GGUUGGAGGCUUGGAGGUCAAUUAUUCUUUCAUCUCUAACCUAGAGGGGUCAGUCAUGUUUCUGCCACAUGAAUUGAUUAUUGAAAUCUUGUUGAGGUUGCCGGUAAAGUCUCUUACACGUUUCAAGUGUGUUUGUAAGUUGUGGUUUUCUCUUAUCUCUCAUAAUUCACAUUUGCCAAUCGUAGAAUUCUAUUCAUAUCAAAAUCAACUCACCAAGCUCGUUCCAUAGAAGCAUCGCUUCACGAUGACAGUGCUUCUGUUUCACUCAACCUUAAUUUUAUGUUUCCAGAGGAUUUUACAAGUUAUGCAAUUAAAGGGUCGUGUAGAGGCUUCAUACUUAUCUGCUGUUGGAUCUUUAACAUCUACAUAUGGAAUCCAUCCACUGGAGUUCACAAACAAAUACCUUUAUCUCCUUUUGGUUUCAAUUUAGAUGCUAAAUAUUUAUAUGGUUUUGCGUAUGACGAUUCGACCGAUGAUUAUUUGGUUGUUUCGUUGUCUCAGCAUGAUAAUUUAGAUGAUCCAACAUUACACUUGGAGUAUUUCUCAUUGAAAGCUAAUACAUGGAAACAAGUUGAGGGUCCUCAUUUCCCUUGUACCUUCCAGUAUGAGCCCAAAGAGUCCAAAGGCGGGUCUCUCUAUAAGGGAGUUAUUCAUUGGUUGGGUUUUAAUAAUGAUUAUGCAUGUGAAGUGAUCGUUGCCUUUAAUUUAAUGGAAAGGAAACUUUCAUAUAUGCAUUUGCCAUGUUUUAAUCCCUCCCACUGUGAUUUGUGGGUAUAUGGAGAAUUUCUCAGUGUAUAUAUUAUGAAUUAUUCUAAUGAUACUCUUGAAAUAUGGGUGAUGAAAGAAUACAAAGUGGAUUCCUCUUGGAUUAUGACUCUUGUUCUUCCUAUUGAUCUCAUCCCAACCGAGGACUUUUCCCUAUUGUGCUAUACAAAGAGUGGUGAUAUUAUUGGGAUUGGGACUGAAGAUGGCGUUGGAUUGGUGAAGUGUUAUGAAAAAUGGACAGUUUAUAGAGCAACAUUAUUAUUCUAAUCAUGAUCUUAGAUUGCAAGUGAUUAUGUAUAUAGAUUCUCUACUUUCACUCCCGAGUGAUGGUGACAACAAGCAAGAUUAAGAAGAAUAAGGGGUUUGAAAUUUAAACAAGAAACUUGGUUGAAUUGGGAUAGAAUAGAAGUCAUAAGGAAGAGGUGGAAAUUAAAAUUGAUUAGGGUGGUCAUGAAAGUUGUGUAGAACUUAAUGAGGAAAAUGUGAAGCAAGUGGUGAAACGAGGGAUGAGGUUCAUGAUAGUAGAAAUAAGAGAAUGGAGUAGAUUGUACUGAUGAGGUUCAUGAUAAUGUUAGAAAAGCUUAAGAAGAUAAUCGACACAAACAAGAGGAAUGAGGUUCUGAAAUCAUAUGGUAUGAAUGCAUUUGUAAGGUGCUGAUAGAGUAAUAUGAGUUUGAAUGGAUUUGUAGGUUACUGAGUUUGAGGACAUUUUUUAUGAGUCAGAAUGCCACACUAGCUAACGUAAUAUGUUAUGAAAUGUUUAUUGGUUAACUAUAUGCAAUCGGCUUAUUGUUAACAUAUCGUUAUGAAAUGGUUAUAGGUUAACUAUUUGCAAUAAGCUUAUUUACAGUGAUAGCUUUGUUUCUUAUUUAGAUGCCAUUGUCAAAACAAACAUUUUUUAUACCGUUCAUGAUUGGUUGAAUUUUGCAUAGGAGCAGUGGCGGAGCCAGCGCCCGGCUAGGUAGGGCAGCUGCCCAGGCUCCGCCGGCCAUGCUUCACCAUCAUAUGCCGGAGAUCUGCCAUUCUCGCCGUCCCCUAAACGAGAAAGUUGUCGGCGGUUUCAAAAAGAAAGAGGAGUAAUGUUGAAUUCGCCGUUAAUAAACUGACCACCUGCUCCAUAUUGAUACAAGGAGGGAGAUGAAACUACACACUUAGAAACAAAGAACUUAGUUGUUCUUUCAAUUUCACGACUCCACUCUUUCUUCUUUUUCUUCUGUUUCAAUUCAAUUUUCACUAUAACAUUGUUGUGGUGUUGUUAUUUGUUGUUGUUGCAGGCUGUGGUCGACGAAUUGAUGAAGAAUUGGGGUACAAUUUGUCGUUUUGCGCUAUGCCCACCAAGUGUUCGGGACUUGUCAUGAUGGUUUAAACGACUAUGUUAUUUUUGCAUUUCAUUUUAAUGGAAAGAGAAGUUUUGAGAUGUAUUUUCCAAAUGUUUUUGACCAAGAAUCAACUAAUUGUGAUUUGUGGGUAUUUGGUGAAUUCCUUAAUCUAUGGGGCUAUGGAGCACCGUUCUUUUGUUAAUAUAUGAGUUAUGAAAGAAUACGGACUGCAUUCGUCCUGGACUAAGACUCUUUGUUUUGUCUAUUGUUGUCGUUCCGACUCGGUACUUUUAUCCAAUAUGUUGUACAAGAAAUAGUGAAAUUAUUGGAACAGAUGGUGGUACUGAAUUGGUUAAAUACGAUGACAAAGGACAAUUGUUAGAGCAUCGUUCAUAUUCUAAUGACCGAGAAGGAUCUCAUGUUGUGUAUAUAGUCUCUGCUUUCACUACCUUCUAACAAUGAACAAGCUGUUAGAACAAGCUUAAGAAGAUGACACAAUCAAGAAGAAUGAGGUAUACUAUAUUCAUCUUAUUUAUCUUGUACUAUAGUAUGAACUAUAGGAAUGCUCCAAUCAGUAAGGUAUUGGAGGGUAAUAUGAUGAGCUAGUAUGCUACCUGAGCUCAUGUAAUAUGUCAUGGAAUAUUUAUUUGUCAAUUGUUUGUAAUAUGUUUGUUUAAAAUGUUGAAACCUUUAAUUGCCUGUGUUGUUUGUGUGGUUAACUGUUUUUGUUAUUUAUGCAUGUGUGUAACAUAUUAAGUUCUAAUGUAUGUUGAGGUCCAUGUUUAAAAUGGUUUUGUAUUGUAUUUAUAAUUUAUUUGAUGAGUUUAUGCAUUACAUGACUCUGACUCAAAGCACUUUAUUAGAAAUUUUAUCAUGGCCACAUUUGUAUUUGAAGGAAAUCUAAGGUUAUGUUCUCUAAUUUCAGUGGACUCUAGUAACUUUGGCUCUUGUCAUUUAUCUAUUACAAGCUAGAAAUAAAAACUCCAAUUAAUGAGUUACAUCGAUAAGAAGGAAAAUUACUACUGGAAGCAUUUUAUUUUUAAAACUAGAAUCAAAGCAUACAUGAUAGCUUUGCAUACAUACUUUAAAGAAACUGUGAUUUGCGCAGUGAAAACAAGGCAAAACAAUAGUUUGAUAAUAGAUUGAAUGAAGAAACAUGUCUGUGAAGUGUUAGCUAUGUGAUAAUAGUUUGAUCAUGAGUGCCAGUUUAAUUGAUAAUAAUGCCAAGUGUCACAAUGAUUUGAUAUCAAUUAGACACUGCAGAGGCAAGAGUUAUGAUUCAUGAGCAUGCAGAAAUAGAAGCAUGGAAAAUGAUCAUAGCUAUUGCAGUGUUGUAUCAAAGACUCUUCUCGUUAUCAACACUAGAGAGGAUGUAAACAUGGGUAAAUUAAGAAACCAGAUUGAAGAAAACACUGUUUGGAAUCUUGACUAGUGAAGACAAUUGCUAAUUAGAAUUGGAACAAUGUUUGAAAGAAGAAUUUAAUAAGGUUUCCUUUUUUCGGAAGGAUGCUAUUCUAUGUUCAAAACAUCUGUCAAAUUAUUAUAUUGUUAAAUCAUCUUAUAAGAUGUUAACCUCCACUAAUGAUGCUUGGGAAUGUUAAGUUGUAGCAUAAAUUCAUACUG